GAACGCCUCAUGGAGAAGUCUUAAUCAGGGAGGUGAUGACAGGAUCUAAUCAGAUAUUGUGUUUUGCAAAGAUCGCUUUGGCAGUGGGGGCGGAGGAUGGCUCAACUCCCCCCAGAGGAUGAGCAGGUCAAAGAGCGCAUGCAUUUCUAUGGACAUUGCUCUAUAACUUUCCAAACGGUUUCGCUAAGGGGUCGUAUCGGGAACUGGCUUCAUGGGCCCAUGGGUUUCAGGGGGGCAUCAUCCUUCCUCUCCACCACCGCCAAGGCGCCUCGGCUGAGGAUGUGGAGCGGUGGCGUCCCCUCCCGUCCGCGACUCCCACGCGCCGCCGGUCGGGGUCCGCUCUGGGCGGGGGCGGCCGGGCCGGGCCCGCGUGGUCUGGCUCUCUGCGGCACCCGUCCACGGCCGCCUCCACGUGACCCAAACAGAUUCGGGCACUUCCGCUUCCCCCGGGCUUUCUUCUCGUCAGUGUCCGCGGCCGGGCCGCUGCCGGUCCCCGCGGAAGCGGCGGUGGCGGCGUCAUGGCGGAGCUGACGGCUCUGGAGAGUCUCAUCGAGAUGGGCUUCCCCAGGGGACGCGCGGAGAAGGCUCUGGCCCUCACAGGGAACCAGGGCAUCGAGGCUGCGAUGGACUGGUUGAUGGAGCACGAAGACGACCCCGAUGUGGACGAGCCACUAGCGACCCCCCUUGGACAUGUCCUGGGACGGGAACCCACCCCUUCGGAGCAAAGUAGCCCCGAAGGACCUGGGUCUGCUGCCGGAGAAGGCAAACCCCCGUUGAGUGAAGAGGAAAGACAGGAACAGACUAAGAGGAUGUUGGAGCUGCUGGCCCAGAAGCAGCGGGAACGUGAAGAGAGAGAGGAGCGGGAGGCCCUGGAACGCGAACGGCAGCGCAGGAGACAAGGGCAGGAGUUGUCAGCUGCCCGACAGCGGCUCCAGGAGGAUGAGAUGCGCCGGGCUGCUGAGGAGCGGCGGAGGGAAAAGGCUGAAGAGUUAGCGGCCAGACAAAGAGUCCGAGAAAAGAUCGAAAGGGACAAAGCAGAGAGAGCCAAGAAGUAUGGGGGUAGUGUGGGUUCUCAGCCACCCCCACCUACGACAGAGCCAGGUCCUGUUCCCGCCUCUCCCAGCCAGGAGCCUCCCACGAAGCGGGAGUAUGACCAGUGUCGCAUCCAGGUACUGAUUCUGAUUCCUGUCAUGCUCCUGGGACCCCUUCGUUGGUUUCUAAGGGACCCAACUCAGCCCGGAGCUUUUUUCAGUUAUGUUCCCCUUUGCCAAACCUCUCCCUUUUUUGUAAAUGACUUUUGCAAUCCUAUCUCCUCUGCUCUUAGGAACGGUAUCAAAUUUCACUCGCCCCAGUCUUAUUUAAAUCCAUACCCGUCUCUUAUUCAGCAGUUUACCUUUUUAUUUGUUCAUAAUGUUUUCAUUUGGUUUAUUAUACAGCUGUUUGCAUGCUGUGGGAUCUGUCCAGGUAUAUGGUAUAAUCUUGUCCUUGUUUUCCAUAAACUGUGAAUAAGUCGGGAGUCUCUCUCCAGCAUUCAGUAAAGCCGAACCUCAGUGGUUGGUCAUUUAGAUGCUUUAAAUAGUAAUUUUGCUGGUUCAGUCUCAGAGAGGAAGAGAAGCCAUCAUUGCUCUUCUUCUCCUUACCUGGGCCCCCUACUCAGCUUUGACGCUCACAGUACCAUCUCUCCUGCUCUCUAGGUCAGGCUGCCAGAUGGGACUUCCCUGACCCAGACGUUCCGGGCACGGGAACAGCUGGCGGCCGUCAGGCUCUAUGUGGAGCUCCACCGUGGGGAGGAGCUAGGAGGGGGCCAGGACCCUGUGCAGUUGCUCAGUGGCUUCCCCCGGCGGGCCUUCUCAGAAGCUGACAUGGAGCGGCCUCUGCAGGAGCUGGGACUUGUGCCUUCUGCUGUCCUCAUUGUGGCCAAGAAAUGUCCCAGCUGAGAGGCCUUUUCCCACCAUCCCUCUCUGACUUUUCCAUCUUUGAUAAAGCACUGACAUCUUCCUAAUAAAUAGACCCUCUGAGUUCUGUA